rnacentral:rRNA from 1 species
CCUACGUGGGGCUGCAGUCGAGAAUCAUUCACAAUGGGGGAAACCCUGAUGGUGCGACGCCGCGUGGGGGAAUGAAGGUCUUCGGAUGGUAAACCCCUGUCAUGUGGGAGCAAAUUAAAAAGAUAGUACCACAAGAGGAAGAGACGGCUAACCCUGUGCCAGCAGCCGCGGUAAUAAAGAGGUCUCAAGCGUUGUUCGGAAUCACUGGGCGUAAAGCGUGCGUAGGCUGUGUCGUAAGUCGUGUGUGAAAGGCGCGGGCCCAACCCGCGGACGGCACAUGAUACUGCGAGACUAGAGUAAUGGAGGGGGAACCGGAAUUCUCGGUGUAGCAGUGAAAUGCGUAGAUAUCGAGAGGAACACUCGUGGCGAAGGCGGGUUCCUGGACAUUAACUGACGCUGAGGCACAAAGGCCAGGGGAGCGAAAGGGAUUAGAUACCCGUGUAGUC